rnacentral:rRNA from 1 species
UACGUAGGGGGGCUAGCGUUGUCCGGAAUCAUUGGGCGUAAAGAGCGUGUAGGCGGCUUGGUAAGUCCGCUGUGAAAGUCCAGGGCUCAACCCUGGAAUGCCAGUGGAUACUGUCAAGCUAGAGUCCGGAAGAGGCGAGUGGAAUUCCUGGUGGUAGCGGUGAAAUGCGCAGAUAUCAGGAGGAACACCAAUGGCGAAGGCAGCUCGCUGGGACG